rnacentral:lncRNA from 1 species
UACUCCUCUCCCCUGGUGAUUAGCUGGAGCAUUGUGAGCUGAAAACCAGUGCACAGAGAAGGGAGGCAGCUCGGUGCUGGGCUGUCAGAGCGAGGACCCCUGUGACCAGAAGCUGAAGCUGGGGUUUGCAUAGUUGCUGUUGCUGGGGACCUUUGUGGUUAGAAGGAACAUGACAGAAAUUGUUGAAAGACCUGAGUGAUACUGAUCAUCACCUUCAGGGCCAGACCCUAACAGUGCUGGCAGCUGCCCUUUUCCCAGUGCUGUUACAGCACUGGGAGCUGCCCUUUUCAAGGGCAGAAGGUGUAGCAGAAAGCAUUAUUCCCAACAUGAGAGAGAUCUAGUAGAUGACUAUUGAAAUACUGUUUCUAGGAGCCCUUGCCCCUCAGGCCUGCCUGAUAUCCCUUUGACACCAAAUGUGUAUUGUAUCUGAGAGCUAUUCAGAUAAUAAUCACAGUGUACUGUUGUUCAUUUGGACCUACUGCCUGGAUGAAGAAGCUCCUGCAGAUGAUGAUUAUCACAGCCUUCUCAUAAAGGAAACUGCUGCUCGUUGGAGAAAUAGCCACUUGCUGCCUACCAGUUGCUUCAGUGUUUCCAGUCUCAUUGGUCUGUUUUACAUUAGUGGGAUUCAGGGAUUUCAAGAGCUCUUUCUGACUUGCACCAAUCACUGUGAAGAAUCAAGUCCUAUGCUGAGAAGACGACAGAUGGAUGACAGAUGAUAUUGAAGCCUACUUUAGCAGCUAUGGAGAGUUUUGUGAAUCAGACCUGCACAUGCAAGAUUAUUUGAUUGGUACUGAACAUAUUUCAGAAUUAGUUGGAAGAUUUCAAAAAAUCUUGCAAAGCAUUAGGAGUUUUGCGUGUUAUAAAUAAUGUUGGAUCUUCACAGGAAUGUUUGCAGUUACAAAAAACCAACCUCGCGGAAAAUUGACAUUUGGUAUACUUAUUAAAAAAUGGAAAUAAGCUUGAAAAUGCAGCUGAAGGUAUUCUACUCUUGUUGCUCAUGUGUCAACUCUAUGUACUAAAAAUAAAUGUGAUCUGGCUAAAAUGAAUUAAAUGAUCCAUCUCACCAGUUCCUUUUUCCUGUGGUAUAUUUCAGUGGAAAAAUAC